rnacentral:rRNA from 1 species
CAGCCGCCGCGGUAAUACGAAGGGGGCUAGCGUUGCUCGGAAUUACUGGGCGUAAAGGGCGCGUAGGCGGACAUUUAAGUCAGGGGUGAAAUCCCGGGGCUCAACCUCGGAACUGCCUUUGAUACUGGGUGUCUUGAGUAUGAGAGAGGUGUGUGGAACUCCGAGUGUAGAGGUGAAAUUCGUAGAUAUUCGGAAGAACACCAGUGGCGAAGGCGACACACUGGCUCAUUACUGACGCUGAGGCGCGAAAGCGUGGGGAGCAAACAGGAUUAGAUACCCGAGUAGUCCCUGUCUCUUAUAC